CUUGACCGCUGGCGGCAGUCCUCCCCCCUUCCAGUCUACCGAGUGGCGGACGGGUGAGUAAUGUCUGGGAAACUGCCUGAUGGAGGGGGAUAACUACUGGAAACGGUAGCUAAUACCGCAUACCAUCGGAUGUGCCCAGAUGGGAUUAGCUAGUAGGUGGGGUACCGUCUCCCCUAGGCGACGAUCCCUAGCUGGUCUGAGAGGAUGACCAGCCACACUGGAACUGAGAGACGGGCCAGACGCCUACGGGAGGCAGCAGUGGGGAAUAUUGCACAAUGGGCGCAAGCCUGAUACAGCCAUGCCGCGUGUAUGAAGAAGGCCUUCGGGUUGUAAAGUACUUUCAGCGGGGAGGCGUUACCCGCAGAAGAAGCACCGGCUAACUCCGGGAAAGCAGCCGCGGUAAUAC
rnacentral:rRNA from 1 species